rnacentral:snoRNA from 1 species
GCUGGCAAGUGAUGAUCUGAUAUCCUACACUCUCAAUGGAAAAUUCCAUGUGUGGACUAUUAAUCUCAUCUUAUUAUCUGAUGCACAAA